GGGGGAGGUGGGAAAGGGAGGAGGGACUGCAAAGACAUCCAUAUCCUCUGGGCUGGGACAGUGCCCCGGGCUAAGUGAAUGCUUCCAGCCACAGAGCCUCUUUCCCCUAACCCCCGCUGUUUUCACCCCCAGCGGCAACCUUUGAAUGCACUUUUGUUUACAAACACCUUCGCCAGCUAUUUUACGACCGUCUCGACAGGAAGUGUGAAUCUGGGUUGGAAAAUCCGGUCAAUUUGACCCACCUACCCAACUGAAUCACCCGCCGCCAGGCGCUCUGUCCAGUUCUUCCCCAAGGUGAUAAUAGGCGCCCCUUUACGCAGAGUGCAAGGUGUGCCACCGCUGGCUUUUCGCCCAGUCAUCCGAUUCAGCCCUGCCAAGCACCCUCCAACGGAGUUCUGUUAUCAUCCCUGUGUUGUAAAUGAGGACACCAGGGCUCAGAGAGCUUAAGCAGCGUGCCCAGAGUCACACACAGUGAGAACCAGAAAGAACAGAAGGCAAGAUCUGUCAGGCAUGGCCUGCGGUGGAGCCUACCUAAGCUGGCGGCCACCCCAGCUCUGCAGGAUAGUUGGUGGAGAAGGUGACCACUGUUCAGAUGUGCCAGAGGCAGAUGUGCACAGGGGACACUGGGCCGGCCAGCCUGCUUGCAUAUGAAUCUUCACCUACAGCAGAGGGGAGAGAGGCUCUCUUAGUUAUGAUUCUUCCCAGAUGACAAUGUGGCUGGCUGGGUCAGGAAUCCUAUCCAGGAAAGAUGCGGAGGUGACCUAAUUCUCAGAGUAAGCCAGGCUGGAGGCCUUUGCUCUAGGAAGUGUAGCUCCUUGGGGUGUGGCUGCAUCAUAGGUGUGUACAGGGCUUAGCAAGGGAUCCAGGCACCCACACCAUCGCCUCUCCUUAGCCCCGGUCUGGGUCUGUGCCUGUUUUAUGGCCUCAGUCUGGCCCUGCAGCUGCAUCCCACUGCACCCAACCAGAACAUGAAAGUGAGUUCUUGGUGGGACCCUAGCAGCCUCCUCCCAUGGAGCCGGGAAGGAAAUGUUCCCCUUACUUCCCAAAUGGUUGCUUAGUGGAGGAGAGCUCCAGGGUGCAGGUGGCAAGAUCAAAGGAUGACUGUUAGUUGUGAAAUUCACUUUUCCAGCUUCCCCUGAACACUCCCUCUGACAGGUUAUGGAAACAGGAAACCUACCGGAAUCUGGAGCAUGAAGCAAAUUCAUAGGAAGAAUCUGAACAUUAGGAUGGAAGUUCCAGUGCUCCAGUUCCAAGAACAGAAGAAGACCCAAGUGGGGGACUUUCUUCUCUUUGUCCUUCUGCAAACCCCUGUCCCCCCUUCACCCCUUUCUCCUCCCCUGCCUUCAUCACUGCCUCUAGGUUUUCUCCCCCAAGUCUCCUCCUUCCACUGCUGCCCCCUCUCCCUUUCACUCUCAUGCUUCAGGUCUGGAAUCUCCGUUAUGCACAAAGGGCCUCAUGGGGUCUGUGUCUUUGGGGGUUAAAUCCUCCAGAGUUGGAGAUUUAUGAAAUUAGCCCCACAGUGGUUUAGGUAAGAGGAUGUUGUCCUAAAAAAAUGAAGAAGCAGCCAGGUGCGGUGGCUCACGCCUGUAAUCCCAGCACUUUGGGAGGCCAAGGCAGGUGGUUCACCUGAAGUCAGGAGUUCGAGAGCAGACUGGCCGACAUGGCAAAACCCUGUUUCUACUAAAAAUACAAAAAUUAGCCAGGCAUGGUGGUGGACGCCUGCAAUCCUAGCUCAGGAAGCUGAGGCAGGAGAAUAGCUUGAAUCCAGAAGGCAGAGGUUGCAGUGACUUCAGAUAGCUCCAUUGCACUCCAGCCUAGGUGACAGGUGAGACUCUGUUUAAAAAAAAAAAAAGAAGAAGAAGAAGCCCUGCCUCUCCAAACUGCACACAUUCCUUGAGCCCCUGGCCUUCCUCUGUGGCCCUUUGCUUCUUUCUGGUGCCCCUGCCAGCCCAGGGCUAAGAGGAUUCCUGUGAAUGGUGAGGUUACACAAUGGGCAGGGAGCUCUGAACAAUGCUCCCACUUCCUCCCCUUUUUCUAGGGUGUGUAACUGCCCAGCGCCUUCACAAUUUCCAGUCCUGCAUGGAAGACGUGUCUGGAUAUUGGUGAAUACAUAGAUGAACUACUGCAGGAGCGCACACUUGAGUAUAUUUUUGUGUGGGUAGCCAUCAGACUGGGAAAGAAUGGGGUGGGGAUCUAAGAAUGGGCACAUUCUGGCCGGUGAAUAAAGGAAGACCAUUUUGAAAUAUCAAUGUAACCCCAGACACCUGCCUUUUCUGCAAAGCUACCUUAUACUGAGUGAAUACUGAUUUGGUGGAUGUGCCAUUGCUGCCUGGAAAGAUCCUCUGCUCUUGGCAAGAGGCAGCAGGGAAUGUGAAGAGGCCCCUGAGUUUGCAGGGAAGGGCCUAGGGCAGGGUUUGUGCCUGCUGGGGCAGGGCCAGUGUGAUGGAAGAGUGCCCCCUAGUGAGUCACAUCUCCAGUUGCUGGGGUCAGCUCAGCCCAGGGCUCCCCAGGUGGGUCUUGGGUCUGAGGUUGGGGGUGAGGGGAGGGGGAGGGGAAGAGAUGUUUGGGACAGGAUUUCAUCCUGGGACAGGUGUCUCUCAGACCUCUCCAAGAAUGGACUCAUGGCUCCAGUUGUGUUUCUGCACUUUCCUCCCAUUUCAGCCUCUGCUGGGCUUUCACGUGGUCUUUAAAGAGAUACCAUCUUUAACAUAAACAGCCUUAUAUCAUUGGCGUGGGAAAACACCUUGCAUUCACUCACCCAUUCACCCUUCCACAUAUCUAUUCUGUCAUGUAUUUCAUACCUUCAAUCAACAAACAUUCCCUGCGCACCUGCUCUGAGUCAGCCCCUAUGAGUCAAAGGGGGCUUCCAUUCUUGCAGGGCUCUCAGGCCACUUGGUGCAGGGGAAAAAGAAGCAAGUACACUACAAAGUGGAGAGUUACACCUUGAAGGAAGGGAGCAUGGGCACAGGGAGGCAGUCAUGACGGGCUUCCUGGAAGAGACAUUUCUCAAGCUGAGUGCUGAAGGCCAAGUUGAACAGUGAGAUGUCUUCCCCAGGCUGGCAUCUGGAGAACCUGCACUAGAAGCACAGACCCCCUGGUUUACUAAAACAGUGGCAGGAACUGUUGAACCAUUCUUGGGUGGCCAUUGAUCUGCAGCCAUCCAUAUGUCCCUCCCUAGGAGUAAUCCUGGAGGGAAGGAGGACUACAAAGGCACAUGGAAACUUGAGUGGAGGGUGCUGGAUAUAUUUACUCUCUUGACUGUGGUGUACUUAUGAUGAAACUUAUCAAACUGUGCAUUUUAAAUAGGUGGGUUUACUAUAUAUUAAGUAUACCUCAAAAGAAAAAGGGGAAAAAAAGUCAAAUAGUUCUACAAUGUAAGAAAGCAGUCCCCUGUUUUACUCUUUCCCCCACCAAAUUCCAUUCCAAAGAGACAAUCACUUUAAACAUCUUUUAAAUUUUAUUUUUAUUACUUUUUUU
rnacentral:lncRNA from 10 species